AAAUAUGAGGUCAAAGACUAUUGAGGUGUCCUCUCCCUGUUGUUACAUGAAUGUACAGUAGUCUACUCUAUAUAGUUAUCGGUUCAGUGAACUGAGACUAUAAUUAUGGAGG